rnacentral:rRNA from 1 species
AGAGUUUGAUCCUGGCUCAGAAUCAACGCUGGCGGCGUGCCUCAGACAUGCUAGUCGAACGAUUAAGACUCCCUUCGGGGAGUGCAUAAAGUGGCGCACGGGUGAGUAACACGUAAGUAAUCUACCUUUGAGUGGGGAAUAACCCGGGGAAACCCGAGCUAAUACCGCAUAACGCAGCGGCACCGCAAGGUGACAGUUGUUAAAGGAGCAAUCCGCUUAAAGAGGAGCUUGCGGCAGAUUAGCUAGUUGGUAAGGUAAUGGCUUACCAAGGCUACGAUCUGUAUCCGGUCUAAGAGGACGGUCGGACACACUGACACUGAAUAACGGGUCAGACUCCUACGGGAGGCAGCAGUCGGGAAUUUUGGGCAAUGGGCGAAAGCCUGACCCAGCAACGCCGCGUGAGGGAUGAAGUAUUUCGGUAUGUAAACCUCGAAAGAAUGGGAAGAAUAAAUGACGGUACCAUUUAUAAGCUCCGGCUAACUACGUGCUAGCAGCCGCGGAAUAC